CCUACGGGCGGCUGCAGUAAGGAAUAUUGGACAAUGGGCGCAAGCCUGAUCCAGCCAUGCCGCGUGAAGGAUUAAGGCCCUAUGGGUUGUAAACUUCUUUUAUACGGGACAAAACCCCUCUACGUGUAGAGGGUUGAUGGUACUGUAAGAAUAAGCAUCGGCUAACUUCGUGCCAGCAGCCGCGGUAAUACGAAGGAUGCAAGCGUUAUCCGGAAUUAUUGGGUUUAAAGGGUGCGUAGGCGGACCUAUAAGUCAGUGGUGAAAGCCCCAAGCUCAACUUGGGAACUGCCAUUGAUACUGUUGGUCUUGAGUACAGUUGAGGUAGGCGGAAUGUGUCAUGUAGCGGUGAAAUGCUUAGAUAUGACACAGAACACCGAUUGCGAAGGCAGCUUGCUAAGCUGUAACUGACGCUGAUGCACGAAAGCGUGGGUAGCAAACAGGAUUAGAUACCCUUGUAGUC
rnacentral:rRNA from 1 species